ensembl:snRNA U5 U5 spliceosomal RNA
AUAUUCUGGUUUAUCUUCAGAUUGCUUAAAUCUAUGCUUUUUGCUAAAGAUUAUCAUGGAGAGAAACAAUUCUGAGUUUUCAACUAAUUUUUUGAAGCCUUGCUUCUGUAAGGAC